rnacentral:rRNA from 1 species
AAAAAUUUAAAUUAAUCUACUAAAAAAUUAAUAGUUAUGUUCUUUAAAUUUAAAAAAUUUGGCGGUAUUUUAGUCUUAUUAGAGGAAUCUGUUUAUUAAUUGAUAAUCCACGAUUAAUUUUACUUAUUUUAAUUAAUUCAUAUAUCGCUGUCAUGAAUAUAUUUAAAAAUUUAUUUUCUUUAAUUAUUUUAAUAAUUUAUGUUAAGUCAAGAUGUGGUUUAUAAAUAAGAAUAUAAUGGAUUACAUUAAAUUUUAUUUUUGGAUUUAAAAUGAAAAUUAAGAUGAAAUUGGAUUUAAUAGUAAGUUUAAUUAAUUUAUUAAUAUGAAUAAAGAUCUA